rnacentral:lncRNA from 1 species
UUAUAUAUAAUUAUCAUAGUAUUUUCAAGGGUAUAAAAUUAUUAAAUUAAUAUUUUCCUUAUGGUGUAUCGGGUUACUUACGUGUAUACCUUGACUAACCCGUUAUCCUAACAGGUUCUUAUCGGGUGAUCCAAUAAUGACCCGAUUCAUUAUCGUGCUGACCCAAUAACUUGUUAAUUUUGUGUUGUUUCUUGUCGGAUUAAGGGGUCGUGUCAGAAAUUGCCAGUACACACAAACAGGUUGUUACUAUUUUUUCUUAACCUCACAGCUAUGUCACCCUAUCAUGCCCUAAAUUGUCUCUCUUUCUCUUUCUCACAUUUGCACCCUACAUCUACUUUUCUUCACUCUUUCAAAGUUCCCCAAUCCAAUAAUUUGGCUUUAAUUAAAUUUAAUACUUUUUAUAGCUUUUUAUUUAUUUAUUUAUUUUUUGAACAAACGAUUAUCUACACUAAGGGGGAGUAUGGUGGGCUUAGCCUUACAAUGGGCUAGCAAUAAUACGAUUCAAAUUCGCCUUCGGCGAGAAUCAAAUCUAAGACCUCUCACUUACAAGUGUAGAGGAAUACAAGUAAACUGUAGUAUUAAGUGAUCAUUCUUUUUAAAGCUUUACAUCACACACAUAAUGUGUACUGCAUCUAGUAUUAUUACUAAACCUAAAUUAACAUUCAUAUUUUCUUUUUUUCUUUUUUAAGGAAAUAUGACUAAACCUUCUCUGCCAAGGCCAAUGGAUAUGAAAUUACACUAAUGCAAUUGGCUUAUUGCAUUCAAUAUUUUUCUUUUGAAAAAUUAGGAUUAAUGGCCCUUCUCCUAGAUGAAUUAGCUUGUAUUUUAUAUAUUGCAGCCUCUAGACAGCAGCUUUUAAAAUUAUUUUAAUUCUUGUAAUAAGCUCAUUAAUUUUAAAUAAUGACAUUAUUUAUGACACACCCCGUCCCGAAGGAGGGCAUGCUGGCCGUCACGCACGAUCCCAACGUCCAAAUCAUUCCAACGAAGCACUCCGAGCUUCCUUGGGACCUCACUAAGCUCACUAUAAGCUUAGAAUUCAUUGAAACACAACAUAUUACGAGUGCAUGAACAGUGACCAAAAAUGAACGUUCGGGUUUCAUGUGAUUCCGAGGGUUUCACUUCCUAAAACUAGUACCAU